AACGAACGCUGGCGGCAGGCUUAACACAUGCAAGUCGAGCGCCCCGCAAGGGGAGCGGCAGACGGGUGAGUAACGCGUGGGAAUCUACCUAUCUCUACGGAACAACUCCGGGAAACUGGAGCUAAUACCGUAUACGCCCUUCGGGGGAAAGAUUUAUCGGGGAUAGAUGAGCCCGCGUUGGAUUAGCUAGUUGGUGGGGUAAUGGCCUACCAAGGCGACGAUCCAUAGCUGGUCUGAGAGGAUGAUCAGCCACACUGGGACUGAGACACGGCCCAGACUACUACGGGAGGCAGCAGUGGGGAAUAUUGGACAAUGGGCGAAAGCCUGAUCCAGCCAUGCCGCGUGAGUGAUGAAGGCCCUAGGGUUGUAAAGCUCUUUCACCGGUGAAGAUAAUGACGGUAACCGGAGAAGAAGCCCCGGCUAACUUCGUGCCAGCCGCCGCGGUAACAC
rnacentral:rRNA from 1 species